rnacentral:lncRNA from 1 species
AUAACUGAGAGUACUGUUGGUUUUACCUGUAAAAAAAUUGAUGAAAUUUUUCGUUGUUGGAACUUUGUUCGUUGAUUUCUUCAUGUAAGUACUACUUUCAAGAGCAAAUGAUUUGCAAGUAAGAGAUGCCACAAAAUUUGCUAAUUGUUGAGAUAUAACAGAGCAUUCGCUUGUGGACAAAACUCUGCCUAACUUUACACUGACCAGACACAGCAAUUUGGAAGUACUUCUGAUGUCAUGAGGAUCAGAUAGUAUUAGAUAGAUUCCAGGGCAAUCAUAAAGCAGUAAAAAAUUGAAGGUAUUACCCUGAAAAAGGAUAUUAAACAAUCUCAUAACGAGUCAGCUUCAUGAGCAAUAUGAACAAAAGGAGAUAUAAGCUUUCAUUUAACUUACUGCCUCUGCAGGAAACUUACUCGUGGGAAAGUUCCCAUCGUCAGAAGACUCAGAGAGUCAUCACAAUUCACACACCAUCAUGAAAUCCGCAUGAACAUCACUUGGGAGUUGUGUAAGAGAACUCCCCACAUUUCCUUCUCGUCGUCACAUUGAUAAUCAAACCAAAAAAUGAUCCAACUAUUUCGUUAGGCAAAAAUUUCUAAUUUCAUGAUUCAUGUAUUAACUAAUAUCCCCUAAUUGAGCUGUCUCUUUCUUAAAAGUCACCUCAAUCUGAGUUCAUCCAAGUUCAAUAGUUCUUCCCUUCACUCAAGUACUUCUACUGCUACCAUGCCUAUAAAAAGAAGGUGGCGGUCUUACCAUGAGCUGUGGAAUUGGAUGUCGAUCAUGAAGGGCUCUCAACAUCAAGAUGAACGUCUGCUUUUCGACGAUGAAUCUCCUCCGGAGACACUGCAGACGAGAAUAAUACACAAAGUCAUUGGCAAGACAUGUCAGACGACACAGGACUUGGCAAAGCACUUACCAACCGGAACCGUUCUCGUGUUCCAGCUUAUGUCGUCCAUUGUCGCGAGAGAAGGUAACUGAGGUGUUUACACUUGCUGCAUACCUUGAUGUCGCUGCUUUUAUUUGUAGCUGUUGCUCUGUUCGAUGACAAUGUGGUCAAUUGCUUCUACCAAUCGCCUUCUGAGGAGACUCAGCAGAUCCUUAAUGCUCUCCCUUGGGAUUGGAGUUAUUUGCAGUAUGUUGUUUGCUCUGUUCCCCAGCAAACUCAACGGGAUUGGUUUCCUCUCUCGGCCAGCUGCUUUUAUUUGAUCCAGAAACAUUACACCCCACACCCCCAAC